UUAUCUCCAUCAUCGUCUAAAAACUUCUGCUUCUCUGUCCAAGAGAAUUCCGACCAUCUUACUUUUUGAUGGAAAAUCAACUGAACGGUUACCGUGAAAAUUGGAUUGCAGUUGCAAGUGACCGUAGCCUUUAAUGGUUAUGAUUAUUUGAGCUUUUCAUAUUAACUUCAAACAAGGUCCAAACCAGCUUCUCACUCCAUGUCUAGUCCUUCUUUCCUUUCACAAGAACAAACACGCUUGAGCUAAAUCAACAGGUCGAUUGUUACUCAAAUGAAGCACUUAAACAAAGCAAAAACAAAAUAUCAGUGAAAGUUCAGAAACAGCCACAGGUGGAUUGAUAACUAUCAUGCUUUCUACUUCUAACAAGGUUAACCACUCGUUUUAUGAAGCAAGCGACAUUUCCAAUUUCUAGAUGGAGCAAGGCCCUUAAACCUAUCCCAGUUGCAGGUAACCUAGAGUUCCUUUUUCUUUGUUUCCUUGUUUAUUCACUGAGAGUGUUCAACAUAACACUGAUUGCUGCUACUUGAGAUAGAUGAUUAAGUUGAUAUUGGGGGAUCUUGUUAUUAAAUUAAGCAUGGACUCAUACAGUUGCCCAACUUAUUAUCUGAGUAAUAAAUUUAAUUUAAAAAGGGAAAGAAACAAGCCAGUAAGCAUAAGUGAAUCUCCCAGCUAGUAUAUGGUAGGCACUAUGGAAGGCAAGGAACUCUAGAGCUUUUGAUAGUGUUGAGAAUAGUAUGCAAAAAGUCAAACUAAAUUGUAUUAUGCUACUGUGUUUUUGGUGUAAUCAAUUAUACUCAAAUGAUACUAUUUCCAUAAUUGAUGUCUAGACUCAAUUUAGUAAAAGAUAGUAGGAUUUGAAGUACAUGUUGUAAAUACUGACCAAUACAGUUUUAGUACUGACUUUUGAGGAAUAGACAAAGUCACCAAUUUCAAAAAAAAAAAAGCAUGAAGUGAAUCAAAAAGUAGAAAACCUUAUAAGAAGGCAAGAUUUUCAAAAAGAAAUAAGGGAUAAAAGGCUAUUCUGCAAAAGUGUAUAAAAUCCCUUCCACUCUAUCAAAAGCUCUCCUAUUUCUCUUUCCAUAUAGCCCACAGAAUUGCUGGGGGGAGCAACAUCCUAUGUUCUGUUUCUUCUCCUUUGUCUUCCAAAAGGUCCAAUGAAACAUGCGAUGUGUGGAUUGGGUGCAUAUCAUGGCACCAAACUCUGUCCAAGACAAAAACAUGAUGUUUAAGUGAAGAAAGGGGAAAGGGUCAUUAUCCAUGAGUUUUUAACCUCACGCCUUUUUGCCUCGGAAAUUUCUUGGGUUAUAAGAAGGGUUCUCUUUUUGGAAAUGUCAAAUGUUUCAUUGAUUAUGCAUCUUAGUGCUGAAGAAACUUUACAAUCAGUGUAAGGCAGUGAGCCAAUCAAUGAAAUUAUCUCUUUUAUUUAUAAAAAAGUAUGCACCAAAAAG